rnacentral:rRNA from 1 species
CCUACGGGCGGCACCAGUGGGGAAUAUUGGACAAUGGGCGAAAGCCUAAUCCAGCAAUGCCGCGUGUGUGAAGAAGGUCUUCGGAUUGUAAAGCACUUUCGACGGGGACGAUGAUGACGGUACCCGUAGAAGAAGCCCCGGCUAACUUCGUGCCAGCAGCCGCGGUAAUACGAAGGGGGCUAGCGUUGCUCGGAAUGACUGGGCGUAAAGGGCGCGUAGGCGGUUUAUGCAGUCAGAUGUGAAAUCCCCGGGCUUAACCUGGGAACUGCAUUUGAGACGCAUAGACUAGAGGUCGAGAGAGGGUUGUGGAAUUCCCAGUGUAGAGGUGAAAUUCGUAGAUAUUGGAAGAACACCGGUGGCGAAGGCGGCAACCUGGCUCGAUACUGACGCUGAGGCACGAAAGCGUGGGGAGCAAACAGGAUUAGAUACCAGCGUAGUC